AAAUCGGCCCUUUUCAGGGCCAUCAUAAAUUCUCCACUUUGUAAACU
rfam:Atta colombica isolate Treedump-2 unplaced genomic scaffold scaffold14, whole genome shotgun sequence.